GUAGCUUUCAAAGUCAAAGACCUAGCAGAUCAUAAGAGUCAGAAUUCACAUCUGGGUGUGGAUGACUCCAAAGCUCAUUCUGUUUUCCACUACUCUAUGCCACCUCUCCAUUUAGCCAGGGAUGUUUAUCAGUCAGGGUCUUAUCGGGAGACAGAAACCAGACCCCUUAUUUUAAGCUGCUCACUAGGUAACUGAAAGAGUAUAAAGAGAGCUCUUAAGGUGUCAAGAAGAUAACAACUGCAGGAAGCAGCUACUACCCCUAAGGCUGAGGAAGUAAAAAGGGAGAAGCUGCAAUGAUGAAAACUUAGAAUGUAGAGGGUGGGCCCUAUGGAGCUGGAGCUUGGGCCUCUGAAGAGUGGAUGCCGCUUGCUAGUGCUGAUGUCUCUGAGCUCAAAGGAGUCUGAGGCUCAGACUCUGAGAAGCCUGGUGUCCACAUUUUGGAGGGCAGUGCAACCAAGCUGGUUCUGAAGUGUUUGGGAGAACUGUCACCUGGAUUCUUCCACUGCAAUGGGAAGGAACUGCCACUGCCAGAGUGAAGAAGCGGUGUUGGGUGACACUCACAGGACUAGGACGCGGACAGGAAAGAGAGGAUAAGGUGAGAUUCCUUCACAAAUGGUGGCUCCAACUGGAAUUCAUUGUCCCAAAUUCUGAGAACUCCUGAGGAAAGAUCCAAAAGUAAUAUGGCUCAAGAUUUUUGAACUGCCCAGGCUCUACUCAGGCUCUUGGACAUCUUGCCCAUCUCAAAGGAAUAAUUUAAUUGAUGAAGCAGAUACAUAGAGCUCAAGCCUUCAGAAACCUCUGCAGUAUUCAUUGAAUGAGAAGCUCACACUCCUUCUUGGUCAUUUAUUACUCAUUCAUGGACCAUCAGAGUUUGCUUUCCUCUAACUGAAGGUCUAGGAAGGAAAUCAGUUGAAAUAGGAGAAGGGGACUAAAGAUUAAAUACUGAAAGAGGAAUCUUCUCCCCUUCUCUUCUCUCACCUCCAAGUGUUUGAUGCUAUGUCAAAUAAUGUUAAUUACAAACAAUAAUAUGAAGGUGCUUCAAAUGCACAAUGUUUUCCUAAGAAAAUGUAUUAUAGCUACUUUACAACUCAGACUAUAAUUAAGUGGACUAAAGGGGAAUGUAUGAAAUACAGAGCAUGAACUUUCCUUAGAGGUUUAAAAAGAGAAAAAUGCGGAUAUCGGUAGGGAACUCCUUUACGGUUCCUUUUGAAUAACAUGAUUCAUAUUACUUUUUUAAAAGAAUAUUUUUAACUGCCUGGCUCCCUUUGUAUUUUUUAAAAGGCCAUGGAGACGUAUGGCUAGGUCUUGGGGAGACAUAGUAAUUAGAGACAUAAGAAUAGCUAGCACAAUUUCUCAUAUGGAAAAUGUCUCAACUGUGGUCAUCACGACAUGGGUUUGGGAAUACGCCACCUCAUUCCACAAGACAAAGCUGGGAGAAAAUAUGUUAGUCAUAGGGAUGUGGAAGUGAAUUCCCCAAAAAACAAAACACAUGCUCCCCUGUACACCUUUGAAAAUACCACAUUUAUCAUAGGCCACAUUUUAUUUAUAGAAUGCUGUGUUAUCUACCGCCACUUGAAAUGAGAGACCUAGAAUAAAUAUUUUUUGGUCAAUGAGUUUUGGAUUUUACAUUUUCCCAAGUUUUCAACUUCCUUGAUUACUCACGCGGAAAGCAUUCUAAGGAGAGAGAUUUCAGAGUUGUUUACUAUGAUGAACAGACUUUAAGUAGCCUCAUGAUCCUUGUCUCCUGGAAUUCACAUCCUUGUUUUGUUUUGUUUUGUUUUGUUUUGUUUU
rnacentral:lncRNA from 10 species